rnacentral:ncRNA from 1 species
AAAAUUUGGUCUUGGUUUUAACUUAGCUGUAAUUGAUUAAAAUACAUGAUAGUUUUGCGAGACUGUACAUAAUUGGCUUUUUUUUUAUGUAUUUAAAUAAUAUAUUUAAAUUAAGUCUUUCUUAUCAAAUAAAUUUAUGACAAGGAUAUAUACAACAUCAGUAUAAAAGUUUAUAUAAUAAGGGAACUUUGUUUUAGAUAUUAUUAAAUAAGCUAGUAAAAUUUGUGCCAGCAACUGCGGUUAGACAAUGGGCUAGAGUUAAGUUUAUUACGGUAAAAAAUAGUUAUAAUGGAAAUUGUCAAUUUACGUAGUAUUAAAAGGUAAAAUUUAGAAAUAUUUUAGUAAUCUUAUUUUUGACUUUAUUUAGAGGCUAUGAAGACUUAGAGUAAGACUGGGAUUAGAUACCCCAUUAUUUAAGUUGUAAAGUUAAUUUACCUGGGUAUUACGAAUAAUUAUAAUAUUAAGUUUAAAAUCUAAAAGACUUGGCGGUGCUUUAAAACUUUCUAGGGGAGCCUGUCCUAUAAUUGAUAAUCCGCGUUAGACCUAACUUUAUUUUAUAGUUUGUGUACUGCCGUCAUCAGCUUACACUUAAGGGGAUUGUAGUUAGCUAAAUAAUAUUUAAGUUAUUAUGUCAGGUCAAAGUGCAGCUAAUAAUAAAGGUGAGAUGGGCUACAAUUCUUAAUUAGAUUCUUUAGAUUCAUUGAAAUUUGAGUUGAAAGUUGGACUUGGAAGUAAUAUUAAUAUUAGAAUAAUUUUAUGAAGUGAGCUCUAAAGUGUGUACAUAUCGCCCGUCGCUCUCUUUUAAUAAGGGAUAAGUCGUAACAUAGUAGGGGUAGCUGAAGCUGUUCCUU